UGACGUCACACAGGAGGAAGAACAAAACAAGAUGGCGACUGGCGGAGAAUACGUUGUUUUGGUUAUUAUGGUUUCUAGGUCUUAAUUACAACGUACAUGUGCACGUGUGUGUCGUUUAACGCAGUAAACGUCCUUAUUAAUUGUUUGUAUGCGGAUACAUUAGUCUGAGUGCACUUUGACGUGCUAGCCUAGCCUGCUGGUUAGCUUAGCUUGUUAGCUGCUAACAAAGAGAGGCGGAAGUGAUCGACACAUCAAAGCAGAGAUCCAAUCCGCUUCAAACAGCUCUUCCUAGGGGAACCCGAGGCGUUCCCAAGCGAGCCAGUUUCUAACAUAAUAGUGAGAGUCCAGUCCAUGGUGGGGCCAGCCAGAGACCAUCCCGAGCGCAGACAGGUCAGCAACGCAGAGAUGUCCCCAACCGAUUAACAGACGUCUGUGAAGAACAUCUUCACCCUGAGCAACAGAAGUGGAGCUUCAGGAUGCAGACGGAGGAGCCACAGCCCUCCCACAUUAAGAAGGAAGAGGAAUACCUUCAGAUCCCCCAUUUUAAAGAGGAAGAGGAACACCCACUAAUCCCCAAAUUUAAAGCGGAAGCUGAGGAUCCACAGAGCCCUCACAUUAAGGAGGAAGAGGAAGAACACAGCAUCAGUCAGCAGGGAGAGCAUCUUGAAGGACUGGAGGAGGUUGAUGUCACCAAGAUGCCAGUGACUGGUGUCCCUGUGAAGAGUGAAGGUGAUGAGGUGAAAGGUGAAAGUGAGGAGAGGGGAGGGGGGGAGCCUCCAAGCAGCAGCUCAACACAACACAUGACAACAGAAGCUGAUGGAGACCACUGUGGAGGAUCACAAGCAGACAAGCUCUUAGCUCCACUAUCAGAUAGUGAGGACACAACGUCACACUCUCCUGACACUGAUGAUGAAGACUCUAAAGAUGAUAAGACAUGUCACACUGACAACACUCACUUCACAUCUUCUCACUGUCACAAAACUUUUAAAAACCAUAGUCAUCUGAAAAGACACAUGAGAAUACACACUGGAGAAAAACAUUUUAUCUGUUCAAUAUGUGGUAAAGGUAUUACACAAAGUUGGAGUUUGAAAGUGCACAUGAGAAUGCACAGUGGUAAAAAAACUUUUGUCUGUUCAACCUGUGGUAAAGGUUUUACACAAAGUACAGAUGUGAAAAUACACAUGAGAACACAUACUGGUGAAAAACCUUUUUCCUGUUCAACCUGUGGUAAAGGUUUUACAGAAAGUAAAAAUUUGAAAAGACACAUGAGAACACACACUGGUGAAAAAAAGAUUUUGUUCAAAGUAAACAUUUGAAAGUACACAUGAGAACACACACUGGUGAAAAACCUUUUCCUUGCUCAGAAUGUGGUAAAGGUUUUGUACAAAGUCCCCAUUUAAAAGUACACAUGAGAACACACACUGGUGAAAAACUGUUUUCCUGUUCAAUCUGUGGUAAAGGUUUUACACAAAGUCAUCAUUUGAAAGUACACGCAAGAAGACACACUGGUGAAAAACCUUUUUCCUGUUCAAUCUAUGGUAAAGGUUUUACAGAAAACUGGUGUUUGAAAGUACACAAGAGGACACACACUGGUGAAAAUUCACAUUCCUGUUCAAUCUGCAACAGAAGCUUUAGUGAACGAUCAAGCCUUGUAGCACACAUGAGAAGACACCCAGGAGAGAAAGUGUUGAGUUGCAGUGUGUGUGGUGAAAGAUUGUCUUCUAAGUACCAGUGUAAGAAACACAAGUGUGCUGGUGAGAACAGCAGCAGCAAAUGAAACUGCAGGAUUUGAAAUAAACUGUCCAGACUUUCAUUUUGACUUUCUAACAACAUCAGCACAUAUAACAUGUGUGACAUUGUUGUUUGUCUAACAAUCUGUUUAAUAUGCGCCUACAUUUAUAGAUUAGAUAUUUUAUAUUAAUGCUUUUUUUCAGUCAAGUACAUUCAUUAAUAUGCACCAUUGUGUACUUUUAUUAAAAAAUGGACGGAACAAUUUGAGUAAAAAGCUGAGAGUAAACAGUACAAUACACAUUUUACAUGCAAUAAACAUUUUGUGUGUAUGUAUACACACACACACACACACACACUCAUUUAUGUAUAUAUAUAUAUAUAUAUAUAUAUAUAUAUAUAUAUAUAUAUAAAGAGAGAGAGAGAGAGAGAGAGAGAGAGAGAGAGAGAGAGAGAGAGAGAGAGAGCCUGUAUAUUCAUCAUACAAUUUUAGACUUAAUUAUAUGAAAUAUUGAAGUAUUACAUAUUUGUAUUUGUAAUUGUUGAUAACCCCAUAGAUUAUCACCUUUAUAUGAUAUACAUAUGUACUGGUUCACAUCUGAAACAUCUUCUGGACCACUUCAGGAAGCAUAUUAUUAUUUACUUUAUACAUCAUUUAAACAGUUGUCUUUUAUACAAUUUUAAAAUGUGUCUUUUUAAACCAUUGGUUGGGUCUCUAUAAUCAUUUGUUAUUCAUUAUCGUCAUUACUCUGUAUUAUGAUGAUUGUGUUGUGAUUGUUUUAUAUGUAUGUCUCCAGACCUUUAUGCGGUAUAAAAGUAAGAGAAAAUGGCAGAUUUUUUUUUUUUGUGUGUGAAAGGAUGGUUUUGUUUUUACAAACUUACAUUUGUGGAUGUAUUAUAUAUAUUGUGUUUUAAACAUUUUUUUUAAUGUUAUUUUUGUCUUUUUUAACAUCCCCAAAUCAAUAUCAGUCAAAGUUUGGAGUGUCAGACAAAAGCCAAUAUUGUACAUCAUCCUACAGAGAUUUACUUUGCAUACAUUCUUAAAAUAAAUUGCUUAUUUUGUUUUCCAAUCACAGAUCGAACAAGUGUUGUCUUCAAUUGCAAAACAACAUUCAAAAUAUUACUUUAAGUGGUCAAUUCCAUCUUUUUUUUCCCCUUAAAUUAACUCUUUUGCCUUAGAAAGAAUGGAAACUUUUAAGUUAAGAGUAUUUUUUUUGUUCCAGGUUGUAUUUAAUGACAUCUUCAAAUAAUAAACUAUUUUUAUCAGUCAAUAAGUGCA